GGGCUAGCCUCGGGGACCUCAGCUCCGCCGCUCGCCGCCGCCGCCCCUCGGCCCGGUCUCCGCGCAGGAGGAAGUGAGCCCGGACCCAGCCAGCACUCUGCCCUCCGCAGCUGCCUUUCAGCUCAGCUUUCCUAGAAGGGCUUUGACAGAUGGAAGAGGACUUGUGGAAACAGGCCCAAGCUGACUCAAAGAUGAGAUUGGAGAACGGCUCUCCCUUCCCCCACCAGAAGGGGGUUACUGAAGGUCAUCUCAUCCAUCCCCCUGCCUCCAUACACAGCUGGGUCAUCUGAGCAUAGGCUGUUCUGCAGACACUACCAAUGUCACCAAAGUGGGCUGGCAUCUUUCCCCCUUUCCACACCCUCUCACUACUGUUGCCUCCUCCACAUAGCCCCAGGGCAACCAUUUUAAAAGCCCAAUUAGAUCCUACCUAAAAUCUUUCAAUGGCUCCUAAUCAAGUAAUAAUUAAUACAGUCCAGAAUCUUUAGUAUGUCCCUGAAGAUCUCUUAUAAUCCCAUCAAUUCUUACCUCUUCAGCCACCUGUCCCAGCUCUCCCGUCCUCUGGCUUCACAGAAGCUGUUAGUUUCAGCUGGAAAUGCUUCCCCACCUACUGCUGUCUCUGCUUGGUGAACACAUCAAGAAGGCCAGUUGAUGGUGUGGGGAAGGAUCAUGUGCAGAAAUCACAAAAAUUAAGAUCAGGAUAGCUCUGUUGGAGGGGGGCUUUAGUGUUGGAACUGUAAACUGAUAACAAUAGGGAGCUAUUGAAAGUUCUUGAGCAAAGUAGUUGUCUUAGUCUACUAGGACUGCUGUAACAAAAUGCCAUAAACUGGGUGCUUAUAAACAAUAGAAAUUUAUUUUUCACAGUUCUGGAGGCUGGGAAGCUGAAGAUCAUGGCACCCACGAUUUGGUGUGUGGUGAGGGCCCAUUUUCUGGUUCCCAGACAACGGCCUUCUUCCUGUGUCCUCAAAUGGUAGGAGGGACAAGCUAGCUCCUGUGGGCCUCAUUUGUAACAGCACUAAUCCCAUUCCUGAGGGCUCCACGCCAAUGAUCUAAUCACCCCCCACAAGGCUCCACCUAAGACCUUGGAGGUUAUGAUUUCAACAUAUGAAUUUGGGAGGGACACAAAUGUUCAGACCGUAGCAGAAGUAAUUUCCUGAAUGUUGUUGGGGGAGGACACCAGCAGAAACAAACUGGAUUCACCUGUCCUUACUCCUCAGCUUUUGGAGUUAGUCUUCAGAAUAGAAGAACAAGGAGAAGGAGGAGGGGAAAGGAGAAUAGAAGGAACAGAAGGAGGAAGGGGGGAAGGGAGAAAGGUAAAAGGAAAAGAAAAAGAAUCUGUGUCCCUGGACCAAGGAAGAUUGGAAGCCGGGAGGGGGAACAUCCUUCUACCUCCUUAUCACUGUUGCCAACAAAAAGGAAGAUUAAACAGAAAUAGUAAAGUUCCUCCAUAAUGUAGCCCUCCCUCGGGGAGGGGAGAGAGCAAAAAACAAAACAAAACAAAAAAAACACUGAGAUAAGACUGACCUAGGAGUUAGACAAAUAAUUCCUCCGGAAUACAAAGACUUUACAAGGGUGAACAUAGCAGACGAGUCCUGUAGGGGCUUCGUCCUGAACACAGCUCUUUCUGCCCCAGCCCCAGGAGCACUGAGGUAAAAUAUGGGCUCAUGCAGUCACGGUCCUCUCACCCCACUCCAUGACUCAUUGAAAGUGAGCUGCUAGCUUCCUAUCCUGCCCAUCUUACUUCACAGCCGCUGUGCCCCAGCUUCUGGCCUUGUGCUAGGCACUAGGGACAUCCCUGACUAAUACUGUUCAGGAGAGACGCUCAGACUUGUGCACAGACAUUCACAGCACUGUGUCAGCAAGAAGUGCUGUCAUUGUGAUCCUGUUUUCUGAACCCCAAAUUGAAGCACGUAGCCCAGCUUGUACAAGUGCACUCAGGAGGACCACAAAACAGAAAGUUCAAAUCCAACCUAUGCUGACCACCCUGAGCCUGUGAAUUCUGGAGCUCUGACGGGCACAUAGAGAGCAACAAGGUUCAACUCAUACAACUGGACAUUCUCUUAUCGCCCUUGAUGAAGAGGGCAAUAUUUUAUUCCUAUUGUCAUCAUUGUUAUUAUUAUUCUGCUUUGGCAGAAGAGGCCCUUUGCCUUAGAGUCCUUCCUCCAUCACAUUCCUGGGGACAAAAAGGAAGAUCCUGUUUAUUUCCAAUCAAGGGAGUUGAUUCUGGGGUCGGCCAGAACCAGUGAAACAGGAACUGAUUCCUUAAAUCUUCCAACUGUGCAUUAGCAGCUGAGAGAAGAACAGGGCCAGUUAACCAAGUUUUGUUAGCAUUCCUAACUAUCCUUAGCUGUAUUUCUCUUCAGCCUGGCCUCAUUUCUUUCAGGCCCAGCCCCCGGGCAGGUUAAGAUGGUUGCUGUAAUUAAUCAUGCCGUGGGCCCUAAUUCAGACUCACCACAUUCAAAUUUCAAUUUAAAAAAAAAAAGGCGGGGUGUCUACUUAAGAAAUGCUCCGCUUAUGAAAUGCUCUUUGUUGCCGAAGCAGCCCCCUUUCAGCCUAAAGGAGAAAGUCUAGGAAGUGCAGGAAAGAAGAAAGGUUUCCAGGGCCCUCUUCAAAGUACUUGCACAUAUGUGAGGGGACUGAGGAUGAUCUGUGCUCCAAAGCCCCUCCAGUAUUUCCCAAUCAGAACAAACUGAAUUUUUAAAAAUAUAUAUUAAAUACCAUCAUAAUAUCUAGGAUGAGUGUUCAUUCCACAAAUGUUAAUUUAUUAUUCUCAGUGCCUCUAGUUUUCCUUCUCUUUUUUUUUAUUUUUAUUUUUUUGAGACAGGGUCCCAGGCUGGAGGGUAGUGGCGCAAUCAUAGCUCACCACAGCCUCGACCCCAGGGCUCAGGUGAUCCUCCUGCCUCACCCUCCCAAGUAGCUGGGACUACAGGCACUCACCACCACACCUGGCUAAUUUUUUUGUAUUUUUUGUAGAGAUGGGAUUUUGUCAUGUUGGCCAGGCUGGUCUUGAAUUCCUGGGGUCAAGCGACCUACCCACCUCAGCCUCCCAAAGUACUGGGGUUAUGGGCAUGAGUCACCGCACAUGGCUGUUUUCCUUCUCUUUAGGUCUUAAAAGGUUUUGUCAUUAUUUCUCUGUGAAAAUGCAAACAAUAGGACUGAGCAUGGUGGCUCAUACCUGUAAUCUAGCACUGAGACCAGCCUGGGCAACAUAGUAAGAUUCUCUUGCUAGAAAAAUAAAAAUAAAGUAAAAUGCAAACAUUAGUUGGCUGUGGAGAAUGGAGUGGGUUUGAGGAAGGUGGGAGUGGGAAAGGAGCUUCUGCUUUUCACUCCAUUUCUUCUGUGGUUUUGGUAACAUGCGUAUACUACUUUUAUAAUUAAAAACAAAAAAGGAGGAGAUUGGCACAGAAUAGAGAAUUUACCAUGAAAACUACUAUCUGCUAAUCUCUUAGUACUAUUUUAACAAAUCCUGAAAACAGCAAUGAGAAACAAAUCUUAUUUCCCAUUUUACCUGGAACUCGCCGCAACUCCAAGUCCUUGGCUGGGCAUGGGAGGCAAGUCAUCGCUGACUUGGAGGAGGGGGGCUCACGUUGGACCUUCAAGAGGGAAAGAGAACCCACCCAACUGUCUAUUUCCAGUGGGAGCACCUUUCCAGAAUCCCAGCUUGACUUGGAGAGGUUCUGCCACUUGGAAGUUGGGGAAGGGUUCCUCCCACCCUCAAUUAAAAUACAUAGAACUUGGUAGUCAGUUCAUUAAGGUGGUCCCCUAGUAUCUGUAUUUUUCUCAAGUACUCCCAAAAUAAUUUGGAUUUAUGAUCAUCCAAAACUCACUGCUUUAGAAAUCAUCUACUCCAAUUACUGAUGAGGGAAACUGAGGCUUAAAGGGCAGAAGGGACUUGCCCAAGGUCACCCAGCAAAUAAGCAGGUGACCCCAGGCCAGAAAAGAAAACAGGACUCCUCCUAUGUCCCACUAAAAACAGGAUAAGGAGGCUGAGAGGAGCACCUGAAAGAUGCCAUUUCACAUCUAAUCACUUCUUGUCACGUUGCAACCAUUUUCCUCAUAUGGAGCCUCACGCUGAUAGAUCAGAAAUAACAUUUUGAAAGUUAUGUCUGCAAGGAAAUGGCUAUUAAUGUUCUUCCUCUCCUUUUAGAGCAUCAAGGAAUACAUAUUAAUUUUCUCUCUACUUACAUUGCCUAUUUGCAAAUUGUAUUCACUACUCAGUGCUCCAAUUUGUCCCACCCCUGAAGAGAUUAUGAUGAAUAAAUGUGUUCCUGGAAAUAAAAAAUUUGUCCCUGAGAUUUAUUUUUAUAAUUAUUUACAGGGAUUAUUUUAGAAUAUAUGGGGGGGCAAUAAUGUGCACAUAAGGGUUCCGGUGUGACUUACCAGUAUUAAUUCUGAGUCUCUUCCCACUUCUCCGAAAGAAGCCCAGGCUCUCUUCGCAGCUGUGAACCCGGGGCAAAGCAAGUGUCAAGUGCACCUGGCACCACCAGUGCC
rnacentral:lncRNA from 10 species